GGGAAACUGACCAACAAACUGCACGUGCUUCUGCUGAGCUGGAGAAGAUGUUGGCUACCUGCCUGCUGCCCAUCUCGGGUGAUAUUUCCACUGAAUACUGUGGUUCCUACUCCUUCAGAUGUGUGUCUCAUCUCAGAGUCUACUUCUGGGAACUGAAUGUCAGACAGGCAGAGAUUGCUGUACUCUAAUUGGAUGACCUUUGAAAAAACCAUUGCUGAGUCAUCAUGGUCUUAAUGUGGGAAAGCCUAGGUCUCCAUUUCUUUUCUCCAUCUAAAGACAAAUGUCCAAAGUAAAUCUUUAAAUGCAACA